rnacentral:rRNA from 1 species
AUGAACGCUAGCGGCAGGCUUAACACAUGCAAGUCGAGGGGCAGCAUGACACGGAGAUUCGUCGAAGUGUCGAUGGCGACCGGCGCAAGGGUGCGUAACGCGUGAGCAACUUGCCCGUUUCAGGGGGAUAACCGGUGGAAACGCCGACUAAUACCCCAUAGCAUCAGUUUGAGGCAUCUCAUACUGAUUAAAGAAUUUCGGAAACGGAUAGGCUCGCGUGACAUUAGCUAGAUGGCGGGUAACGGCCCACCAUGGCGACGAUGUCUAGGGGUUCUGAGAGGAAGGUCCCCCACACUGGUACUGAGACACGGACCAGACUCCUACGGGAGGCAGCAGUGAGGAAUAUUGGUCAAUGGGCGGAAGCCUGAACCAGCCAAGUAGCGUGAAGGAUUACAGCCCUACGGGUUGUAAACUUCUUUUGUCGUGGAACAAAACCUGCCACGUGUGGCAGUUUGCGUGUACACGUUGAAUAAGCAUCGGCUAACUCCGUG